UACGUAGGGGGCAAGCGUUGUCCGGAAUCAUUGGGCGUAAAGCGCGUGUAGGCGGUCCGGUAAGUCCGCUGUGAAAGUCGGGGGCUCAACCCCCGGAUGCCGGUGGAUACUGUCGGGCUUGAGUACGGAAGAGGCGAGUGGAAUUCCUGGUGUAGCGGUGAAAUGCGCAGAUAUCAGGAGGAACACCAAUUGCGAAGGCAGCUCGCUGGGACGUUACUGACGCUGAGACGCGAAAGCGUGGGGAGCAAACAGG
rnacentral:rRNA from 1 species